rfam:Daucus carota subsp. sativus cultivar DH1 chromosome 6, whole genome shotgun sequence.
AAGAGGCGUGAUGAUGCAAAUCCAUAUUUAUAUCUGUACCAAUUCAUGAUGAUUGAACGAUCAUGCACUACCAUCUGAUCUCUU